rnacentral:rRNA from 1 species
UACGGGGGGAGCAAGCGUUGUUCGGAUUUACUGGGCGUAAAGGGCGCGUAGGCGGUAGCACAAGUCAGUUGUGAAAUCUCCGGGCUUAACUCGGAAAGGUCAACUGAUACUGUGCGACUAGAGUGCAGAAGGGGCAACUGGAAUUCUCGGUGUAGCGGUGAAAUGCGUAGAUAUCGGGAGGAACACCAGUGGCGAAGGCGACUUCCUGGCCUGUUCUUGACGCUGAGGCGCGAAAGCUAGGGGAACAAACGGG